GACGAACGCUGGCGGCGUGCUUAACACAUGCAAGUCGAACGAUGAUGCUGGAGCUUGCUCCAGUUGAUUAGUGGCGAACGGGUGAGUAACACGUGAGCAAUCCGCCCUUGACUCUGGGAUAACUGCGGGAAACUGUAGCUAAUACCGGAUACUUUCACCGGGGGGCAUCCUCUGGUGAUGAAAGAAUUUCGGUCAAGGAUGAGCUCGCGGCCUAUCAGCUUGUUGGUGAGGUAACGGCUCACCAAGGCGACGACGGGUAACCGGCCUGAGAGGGUGACCGGUCACACUGGGACUGAGACACGGCCCAGACUCCUACGGGAGGCAGCAGUGGGGAAUAUUGCACAAUGGGCGCAAGCCUGAUGCAGCAACGCCGCGUGAGGGAUGAAGGCCCUCGGGUUGUAAACCUCUUUUAGCAAGGAAGAAGCGAAAGUGACGGUACCUGCAGAAAAAGCACCGGCUAACUACGUGCCAGCCGCCGCAGUAA
rnacentral:rRNA from 1 species